rnacentral:rRNA from 1 species
CCUACGGGAGGCAGCAGUGAGGAAUAUUGGUCAAUGGGCGUAAGCCUGAACCAGCCAAGUCGCGUGAGGGAUGAAGGUUCUAUGGAUCGUAAACCUCUUUUAUAAGGGAAUAAAGUGUGGGACGUGUCCUGUGUUGUAUGUACCUUAUGAAUAAGGAUCGGCUAACUCCGUGCCAGCAGCCGCGGUAAUACGGAGGAUCCGAGCGUUAUCCGGAUUUAUUGGGUUUAAAGGGUGCGUAGGCGGCCUUUUAAGUCAGCGGUGAAAGUCUGUGGCUCAACCAUAGAAUUGCCGUUGAAACUGGGAGGCUUGAGUUGGAGAGAAGUACGCGGAAUGCGCGGUGUAGCGGUGAAAUGCUUAGAUAUCGCGCAGAACCCCGAUUGCGAAGGCAGCGUACCGGCUCCACACUGACGCUGAGGCACGAAAGCGUGGGUAUCGAACAGGAUUAGAUACCCGGGUAGUC